rnacentral:rRNA from 1 species
UGGGGAAUAUUGCACAAUGGGGGAAACCCUGAUGCAGCAACGCCGCGUGAGUGACGAAGGUUUUCGGAUCGUUAAGCUCUGUCCUCAAGGAAGAUAAUGACGGUACUUGAGGAGGAAGCCCCGGCUAACUACGUGCCAGCAGCCGCGGUAAUACGUAGGGGGCUAGCGUUAUCCGGAUUUACUGGGCGUAAAGGGUGCGUAGGCGGUCUUUUAAGUCAGGAGUGAAAGGCUACGGCUCAACCGUAGUAAGCUCUUGAAACUGGAGGACUUGAGUGCAGGAGAGGAGAGUGGAAUUCCUAGUGUAGCGGUGAAAUGCGUAGAUAUUAGGAGGAACACCAGUAGCGAAGGCGGCUCUCUGGACUGUACUGACGCUGAGGCACGAAAGCGUGGGGAGCAAACA